GUCACUUUGGCGGAGUGGUUAACGCGCUGCCCUGCUAAUUCACGGUUAGCUGCUAGGCAGUUCCCUCGGGAGCGUAGGUUCGAAUCCUACAGGUGACG
rnacentral:tRNA from 1 species